UACGGGGGGGGUAAGCGUUGUUCGGAAUUACUGGGCGUAAAGGGCGCGUAGGCGGCCACCGCAAGUCAAUUGUGAAAUCUCCGGGCUUAACUCGGAAAGGUCAACUGAUACUGCGGGGCUAGAGUGCGGAAGGGGCAACUGGAAUUCUCGGUGUAGCGGUGAAAUGCGUAGAUAUCGAGAGGAACACCUGCGGCGAAGGCGGGUUGCUGGGCCGACACUGACGCUGAUGCGCGAAAGCCAGGGGAGCGAACAGG
rnacentral:rRNA from 1 species